CCGCGUGGAGGAUGAAGGUCUUCGGAUUGUAAACUCCUGUCAUGCGAGAACAAGAAAGUGAUAGUAUCGCAAGAGGAAGAGACGGCUAACUCUGUGCCAGCAGCCGCGGUAAUACAGAGGUCUCAAGCGUUGUUCGGAUUCAUUGGGCGUAAAGGGUGCGUAGGCGGCGUGGAAAGUUGAGUGUGAAAUCCUAGGGCUUAACCUUAGAACUGCACUCAAUACUCCCAUGCUAGAGGAAUGUAGAGGAGAGUGGAAUUCACGGUGUAGCAGUGAAAUGCGUAGAUAUCGUGAGGAAGACCAGUUGCGAAGGCGACUCUCUGGGCAUUUCCUGACGCUGAGGCACGAAGGCCAGGGGAGCAAACGGGAUUAGAUACCCCGGUAGUCCUGGCAGUAAACGGUGCACGUUUGGUGUGGGCGGGUUCAGACCCCGUCCGUGCCGGAGCUAACGCGUUAAACGUGCCGCCUGGGAAGUACGGUCGCAAGAUUAAAACUCAAAGAAAUUGACGGGGGCCCGCACAAGCGGUGGAGUAUGUGGCUUAAUUCGAUGCAACGCGAAGAACCUUACCUGGUCUUGACAUGCAUCUCUAAGUUAAUGAAAGUUAGCGAGUCAGUAGCAAUACUGACAAUUUGCACAGGUGCUGCAUGGCU
rnacentral:rRNA from 1 species